rnacentral:rRNA from 1 species
GACGAACGCUGACGGCGUGCUUAACACAUGCAAGUCGAAGGGAGUGGCGAACGGGUGAGUAACACGUGAGUAACCUGCCCUUUUCUUUGGGAUAAGCCUGGGAAACGGGGUCUAAUACCGGAUGGGUUGGGAUGGGCUCGCGGCUUAUGAGCUUGUUGGUGGGGUGAUGGCUUACCAAGGCUUUGCCGGGUAGCCGGCCUGAGAGGGUGGUCGGUCACACUGGGACGGCGAAACGGCCCAGACGACUACGCGGGGCAGCAGUGGGGGAUAUUGCACAAUGGACGACGGUCUGAUGCAGCGACGUCGUGUGGGGGAUGAGGGCCUUAGGGUUGUAAACUCCUUUCGCCCGCGGAAUGGUAGUGGGUAAAGAAGCGCCGGCUAACUACGUGCCAGCAGCCGCGGUAAUUC